UACGUAGGGGGCAAGCGUUGUCCGGAAUUAUUGGGCGUAAAGAGCUCGUAGGCGGUUUGUCGCGUCGACUGUGAAAACCUGGGGCUUAACUCUGGGCCUGCAGUCGAUACGGGCAGACUUGAGUUCGGUAGGGGAGACUGGAAUUCCUGGUGUAGCGGUGAAAUGCGCAGAUAUCAGGAGGAACACCGGUGGCGAAGGCGGGUCUCUGGGCCGAUACUGACGCUGAGGAGCGAAAGCGUGGGGAGCGAACAGG
rnacentral:rRNA from 1 species